rnacentral:rRNA from 1 species
GACGAACGCUGGCGGCGUGCUUAACACAUGCAAGUCGAACGGAAAGGCCCUGCUUUUGUGGGGUGCUCGAGUGGCGAACGGGUGAGUAACACGUGAGUAACCUGCCCAUGACUUUGGGAUAACUUCAGGAAACUGGGGCUAAUACCGGAUAGGAGCUCCUGCUGCAUGGUGGGGGUUGGAAAGUUUCGGCGGUUGGGGAUGGACUCGCGGCUUAUCAGCUUGUUGGUGGGGUAGUGGCUUACCAAGGCUUUGACGGGUAGCCGGCCUGAGAGGGUGACCGGCCACAUUGGGACUGAGAUACGGCCCAGACUCCUACGGGAGGCAGCAGUGGGGAAUAGUGCACAAUGGGCGGAAGCCUGAUGCAGCAACGCCGCGUGCGGGAUGACGGCCUUCGGGUUGUAAACCGCUUUCGCCUGUGACGAAGCGUGAGUGACGGUAAUGGGUAAAGAAGCACCGGCUAACUACGUG